UACGUAGGGAGCAAGCGUUGUCCGGAUUCACUGGGUGUAAAGGGUGCGCAGGCGGAUUUGUAAGUCAGAGGUGAAAUCUCACGGCUUAACCGUGAAACUGCCUUUGAUACUGGAUGGCUUGAAUCCGGGAGAGGGAUGCAGAAUUCCAGGUGUAGCGGUGAAAUGCGUAGAUAUCUGGAGGAAUACCGGUGGCGAAGGCGGCAUCCUGGACCGGCAUUGACGCUGAGGAGCGAAAGCCAGGGGAGCAAACGGG
rnacentral:rRNA from 1 species